UCUAGGCGCAGUGGCGCGUGCCUGUAGUCCCAGCUACUCGGGAGGCUGAGGCUGGAGGAUGGCUUGAGCCCAGGAGUUCUGGGCUGUAGUGCGCUAUGCCAAUCGGGUGUCCACACUAAGUUCGGCAUCAAUAUGGUGACCUCCUGGGAGCUGGGGACCACCAGGUUGCCUAAGGAGUGUUGAACCGGCCUAGGUCAGAAAUGGAGCAGGUCACAACUCCCGUGCUGAUCAGUAGUGGGAUUGCGCCUGUGAAUAGCCACUGCACUCCAGCCUGGGCAACAUAGUGAGACUCUGUCUCU
rnacentral:SRP_RNA from 1 species